rnacentral:tRNA from 1 species
GCCUUCGUGGUGUAGUGGUCAGCACGCUACACCACGAAGGCAUGCGAAGAAGGCGGGGUAUUCAGCUGGGCGCGUAUUCCAGAGGUCCGUGGUUCGAGUCCUGGCGAAGGCG